rnacentral:rRNA from 1 species
UACGUAGGUGGCGAGCGUUGUCCGGAUUUACUGGGCGUAAAGCGCGCGCAGGCGGCCGGCCAAGUCCGAUGUGAGAUCUUCCGGCUUAACUGGAAAACGGCAUCGGAUACUGGUCGGCUGGAAGGUGGGAGAGGGUAGCGGAAUUCCCGGUGUAGUGGUGAAAUGCGUAGAUAUCGGGAGGAACACCAGUGGCGAAAGCGACUCUCUGGUCAACUUCUGACGCUGAGGCGCGAAAGCUAGGGGAGCAAACAGG